GUGUGUGAGAGAAAACAGAAAAAGUGGGUUUGUGAGAGAAAAUCAGUGUAAAAGAACUAACAGUGAGUGUGAGAAAAAACAAACCGAGACAAAAACAGGGAGAGUGAUUGUGAGAGAAAAAAAAGUUUGUGAGAAAAAAACAGAAUCAGAAGUACUGUCAGGAUGAAUUCCCUUAUUUCAGAUACAAUGGAUCCACUGCAAAUUGAAGGGAAUGAAGAGCAAUUCUUUGAGACAGAGCAAUCCUUGCUGAGUCCAGAAGAGACAGAUGAGUCUGGAUUUUUUGAGUAAGUUCUGAACUGAGCAUUUCUUCAGAUGUUCUUGUCUGUCAGUUUGUUUGUCUUCAAAGCUCAAAAUAUACUUCUGAACAUUUAAAGUAGUUAAUAAACUGACUUUGUUUAACUGUUGUUUUGAAUGACAAAUCCAACAUUACAGAAGAUUCUGAUGGUUGCUGGGAAUCUGGGAGUGAUCUGAAUUUGGAAUUUGCAUCUUUAGAAGUAAGGGGGUGACACUGAAGACUGAAGUUUAAAACACAUUAACCUUUGAUUUAUAUCUAACCCCUUGGUAUACCUAUCCUGGGAAUGUUUGAUGGGGACAAUUUAGAGGGAGCUUUGCUGUGUAUCAAAUCCUGUGCUAUACCUGCCUGGGAAUAUUUGAUGUGGAUAGUGGAGACAGAGCUUCACUCUGUGUCUAACCUCAUGCUGUACUUUUCCUGGGAGUGUUUGAUGGGACAGUGUAAAGGGAGGUGACAUCCUUUAAUUCCAGUCCCCAGUUCUCAUACUCUUAAUCUUUACAAAUGAAUAGGUAGUGAUCAAAAUAUAAAUUGAAACAUUUUGUUCCCUCUCAUCAAACUCCACCUUCA